CGCACUGGUGGCGCCGCAGCGGCAGCAUACUGCACAUCCUUCAAAACUUCAAAUUGACAGCAGUCCUUAAUCCCCCGAAUCCCCCCAAAUGCAAAGUAACACGUGUGUCGGAAAAAUCUUAUCCUGUCUACUUGUGCGGAAACAUGCAUGUUUACGUCUGGUUUUAGGACGGCGACGCGAACGUCGUUAUUCCGUGUAGCGAUAUAAAGAAUUUGAGCACAGUUGGACUUACGGACUUCAACGCCAACCGUUGGUACGACGUGUGGUGGAAGGACACCAAUCAACUGGCUAUUUUCGAUCCCAAAUCAUGAAGAUGCGUGGCUUCUUUGGGCACUAUGUGGACACAACCUGCACCGACGAGACAACACGCAAGGUUUGCAAGGCAGGGAUGAACAAGCUUCUGGCUAGGAAGAUUGCUGAUUUAAAUUGAGAGGUUUGCGUGAAUGUGAGAUUUGUAUGAAUGGGAGAAUAAAUUGUAUUAUCUUAAA